GCCUAACACAUGCAAGUCGCACGCGAAAGGCUCCUUCGGGGGCCGAGUAGAGUGGCGGACGGGUGCGUAACACGUGAGCGACCUGCCCUCAUGUGGGGGAUAACCAGGGGAAACCCUGGCUAAUACCGCAUAGGCCACCGGGCUACAUGGCUUGGUGGUGAAAGGUCCUUCGGGACUGCGUGAGGAGGGGCUCGCGGCGUAUCAGCUAGUUGGUGAGGUAACGGCUCACCAAGGCGAUGACGCGUAGGGGGUCUGAGAGGAUGGCCCCCCACAUUGGGACUGAGAUACGGCCCAGACUCCUACGGGAGGCAGCAGUGGGGAAUAUUGGGCAAUGGCCGAAAGGCUGACCCAGCGACGCCGCGUGCGGGAGGACGCCCUUCGGGGUGUAAACCGCUGUCAGUGGGGACGAAUCCCUUGGGGAGGUAAUGCCUCGAGGUUGACGGUACCCGCAGAGGAAGCACCGGCUAACUCCGUGCCAGCAGCCGCGGUAAUACGGAGGGUGCAAGCGUUGUUCGGAAUUACUGGGCGUAAAGCGCGCGCAGGCGGCUCCUUAAGUCUUCUGUGAAAUCCCGGGGCUCAACCCCGGGUCUGCAGGGGAUACUGGGGAGCUAGAGACAGGUAGAGGCCAGUGGAAUUCCAGGUGUAGCGGUGGAAUGCGUAGAUAUCUGGAGGAACACCAGAGGCGAAGGCGGCUGGCUGGGCCUGUUCUGACGCUGAGGCGCGAAAGCGUGGGGAGCAAACCGGAUUAGAUACCCGGGUAGUCCACGCCGUAAACGAUGGGCACUAGGCGCUGGGGGGAUCGGCCCUCUCAGUGUCGAAGCUAACGCGAUAAGUGCCCCGCCUGGGGAGUACGGUCGCAAGACUGAAACUCAAAGGAGUUGACGGGGGCCCGCACAAGCGGUGGAGCAUGUGGUUUAAUUCGACGCAACGCGAAGAACCUUACCUGGGUUUGACAUGCACGUGAAAGCCUGGUGAAAGCCAGGCCCCCCUUCGGGGCACGUGCACAGGUGCUGCAUGGCUGUCGUCAGCUCGUGUCGUGAGAUGUUGGGUUAAGUCCCGCAACGAGCGCAACCCCUAUCCCGUGUUGCCAGCGAGUCAAGUCGGGGACUCUCGGGAGACUGCCGGUGAUAAACCGGAGGAAGGUGGGGAUGACGUCAAGUCAUCAUGGUCCUUACAUCCAGGGCUACACACGUGCUACAAUGGCCGGUACAGAGGGCAGCAAUACCGCGAGGUGGAGCGAAUCCCAAAAAGCCGGUCCAAGUUCGGAUUGCAGUCUGUAACUCGACUGCAUGAAGCUGGAAUCGCUAGUAAUCGUGGAUCAGCCACGCCACGGUGAAUACGUUCCCGGGCCUUGUACACACCGCCCGUCACGCCAUGGAAGUCGGGAGCGCCCGAAGUCCGUGACCCAACCCUUCGGGGAGGGAGCGGCCGAAGGCGAGUUCGAUGACUGGGGCGAAGUCGUAACAAGGUAGCCGUAGGGGAACCUGCGGCUGGAUCACCUCCUUA
rnacentral:rRNA from 1 species